rnacentral:rRNA from 1 species
AUAGUCGUCUCGCCGCAACCGCCGCCGUGCCCUAGAGCUGCCGCCGUUUGCCGCUCCCCGCUCGCCGCCGACGCCGCAGGCCCCCCAAACCCCCGCCGCGGCCUCUCGCGCGCGUCGCCGCCGUCCCCGCCCCACCUCGUCGGCCCCCCGCGCCGCCCCCGCCCUCCCCGCGUCCUCGGGCAUUGAUUUCCGAGGCCCGUCCCUGUCCCCGGCGCAGCGGAGGCCAUGCCGACCACCCCGGACAUCGUGCUGGAGGGCGACGGCGGCGGAGGGGCCGAGAAGCCUGAGGAGGACGCCCAGGCCGCUGGAGACGACGUGGCGGCGGGGGAGACUGUGGGUGUUGCUGACGACUCUGAUCCGGCUGAUGAGAAGCCCGAGGAGGGCGCUGGCGGCGCUGGGUUGCAGUCGAAUGAGGAGGGCGCUGACGCUGUGGAUGAUCCCGCAGGCCUGGGUGCUUCCCUGGCUGAUGUCGGUUCCGACCAGACUAGUCAGGGGAUUCAUGAUGGUGCUGACGAGGCUGAUCAAUUUGGACUCGGUGCACAAGACGAUGCUCCUCUUAUUGUGGAUAGUGAUAUUGCGGUUAGUGAUUAUGGGGUGGAUGCUCAGGAUGAGGACGGGGCGCCAAUGGAUGCGGUUGCUGCAACCGAGUUAAUUGAUAGGGAUGCAGAGCUUGUCAAAGAAGACGAUGAUGUUGCAGAGGAGGGCACAGAGGUGGAUACACAUCCCUCAACUGGAAAUGACGAUGGAGAGGAAGCGGUUGCAGCAGCAAUGGAUGCUCAGGAUGAGGGGAGGCAAAUGGAUGCAGUUUCCAUCAGUAGAGAUGUCGAUGAGGAGAAAGCUGCCGGUGCGGUUGGUGUUAAUGCCACAGGUGAGGACAUACAGGUGGAUGCAGUUGACCCGACUGUAGUUGAUAGUCAGGAAAAGGAGAUCUCUUCAGCUGGUGAUGAUGGUGCAGGUGAGAAGGGCACGGCUGGAGUUGAGGGUGAAAAAGAUGUCACGGCUGCCCAAAAUGUUGCUGAAGAAGCUGAACUCGACAUGAUUGAUAAUGUUGUUGCAGAGGAGGUCACAGAGAUGGAUAUUCUUGCCUCAACUGGAAAUGGCAAUGAGGAUGAAGGGAUCGUAACAGCUGGUGAUGCUUCUGCAGAUGCGGGGACGUCGAUGGAUGCAGUUUCCAUCAGUAGAGAUGUCAAUGAGGAGAAAUGUACCGAUGCAGCUGGUGUUGGUUCCACAGAUGAGGACAUGCAGGUAGAUGAAGGCGGAGAUCAGGAAAAAGAGGCUGGUGAUGAUGUUGCAGAUGAGGAGGGUGUUGAAAAACAUGUGGUUACUAUGACUGGAGAAGAUGAAGAAGAUGAUAUGGCUGAGCAAAACAUCGCUGAAGAGGCUGACAGUGUUCCGGAAGAAGUUGACUUGGCUGGUGAUGUACCUGAAGAAGAGGAUGUGCAGAUAUAUGAGGAUGACGAUGAUGACGAACCUCCACCGUUGGCACGAAGAGGUGUAGGGCGCCCAAAACGAGGUCGUGCAUCUUCGAAGGCUCAGGCUGUGGUGAAGCCAUCUGUUAAAAGGAAGGAUGAGGAGGAGGUGUGCUUCAUUUGCUUUGAUGGUGGUGAACUUGUGAUUUGUGAUCGUAGGUUUUGUCCCAAGGCUUAUCAUCCUUCUUGUAUUAAUCGGGAUGACGAUUUCUUCAAGUCAAAGGGCCAAUGGACUUGUGGGUGGCACAUUUGUAGCAACUGUCAGAAGCCUGCUCGCCAAAUGUGUUACACAUGUACCUUCUCGUUAUGUAAAGUGUGCAUUAAAGAGACAAACUUCAUCUCUGUCAGAGGAACUAAAGGCUUCUGUGAGACAUGCCUGAAUACUGUGAUGCUGAUAGAGAACAAAGAGGAGGCAACUGAGCAAAUGGAUGUAGAUUUUGAUGACAAAGAUAGCUGGUGGUCUUUGUUCAAGGAUUAUUGGCUGAAUUUGAAAGAGAAGUUACCAUUGCCAUAUGCAGAAGUAUCAGCCGCUAGGCGUCUAAAUAAUAGAUCUCAUCUUAGUGAACUACCUGAAGCUAAUGAUGAAGAGGAGGCUAAUUCAGACAGUUCACCAAAAACGAGGGGAAAGAAGCGAUUAAAGCGUGCUGCUGACGAGGACAGCUCCAAAGGGAAAGGCACCACUCGUAAAUAUACUAAACAAGGCUCAGUUAGCCGUGAUGCUAAGCCUAAGAAGCCUAGAGGUGCAAAGGCUAGACAACUGUCAAAGCGUGCUUCAAGCAGUGAUCAUGGACCAAAAGAAUCUGAAAGUGUGGGGACAUCGACAUCCUCAGCUGAGGAUACUAGUUGGGCCUCAAAGGAGCUCUUGGAUUUUGUUGCACAUAUGAGGAAUGGUGACAAAUCAGUGCUAUCUCAGUAUGAAGUUCAACGCCUUGUACUUGAGUAUAUUGCACGUGAAAAUCUGCGGGAUCCUCGCGGGAAAAGCAUGAUAGUUUGUGAUUCUUGGCUCCAAAGUCUCUCUGGGAAAGAACGUGUUGGGCAUUUUGAAAUGCUGAAGCUUCUUGAAUCUCAUUUUCCUUUGGCUGAGGUCUCACCAGCUGAUAUCGAUGGCAACCAUGGUGGUGUUGUAGACCCUGAUCCUAGCCAGGACGCUGAUGGUAACAGUGAAGCAUCAGUUGUGAUGAGUUCAGAAAAAAGAAGGAAAUCACGGAAGUAUGAUCACAGAGCUCUGCAAACGAACCUUGAUGACUUUGCCGCGAUAGACAACCAUAAUAUCGGCUUGAUAUACCUGCGUCGCAACCUAAUGGAAGAGUUGAUAGGUGAUGCUGACACAUUUAAUGAGAAGGUUCUUGGAGCAUUUGUGAGAAUACGUAUAUCUGGUACAGGUCAAAGGCAAGACAUCUAUCGACUUGUGCAGAUUGUCGGGACUGGAACAGCUGUUGAGAAGUAUAAAUGUGGGAAAAAGGCAACUGACAUAACAUUAGAGAUACUAAACUUGGACAAGAAAGAGGUUAUUACUAUUGACAUAACCUCAAAUCAAGAAUUCACUGAGGAGGAAUGCAAACGUUUACGGCAAAGCAUAAAGUGUGGAUUCAUUUCAAGACUGACGGUGGGAGAGAUUCAGGAGAAGGCAAGGGUUCUCCAGUCUGUGAAAGUCAAUGAUUGGAUUGAAAGUGAAAAGAUGCGUCUUGCGCAUCUUCGUGACCGUGCCAGCGAUAUGGGCCAUAGGAAAGAGCUUAGAGAAUGUGUAGAGAAGCUGAAGCUUCUAAGUACUCCAGAGGAGCGUGCUCGUAGGCUAAAGGAAGAACCUGAAAUACAUGCUGACCCCGCCAUGGAUCCGAAUUAUGAAUCUCCAGAAGAACCAGAGGAGGAUGCUGAGAGAAGUAGCUUCAGUAGGCCGAGAGGUUCUUUCUCUAGGAAAGAUAUCAAUCCAGUGUCUCCUGGUAAAGGAGAGGGUAGGAACGCUGCACGAGAUUCAAGAACUAACUGGGAGUCAAACCGAAACACAUGGUCAAGUACACAAUUGGAAUCGCCUCAUGGACGGAGAUCUACAUUUUCUUCUCAUGGUGAAAGUGCUGGUUACACAGGUAAAUCAGAGAGUCCAAACGUCAGUACACAAAAAGUUAAUGUGGAAGCCACGGCAGCUAAUACUCCACAUGGGCCAUCUGUUAUCUCAUCUCAAACUCUAACGGCUAAUUUAAUGUCGCCAACGCCAGCAUCACAGUCAACAGUCAAUGAGUCUGAAAAGAUAUGGCAGUACAUGGACCCCUCUAAUAAAAUCCAAGGCCCCUUUUCAAUAGUUCAGCUGCGCAAAUGGAACAGCAGUGGGUACUUCCCUCAUAAUUUGAAAAUAUGGAAGUCUAAUGAGAAGCAGGAGGACUCAAUAUUGUUGCCUGAUGCUUUGGCUGGGAAGUUUGAGAAAGACCUGCCUCCGUGGGAACCACCACUUGGUAGCUCUUCUCAAACGGACAGAGGUUACUUGAGAAGCAGCUCAGAUGUAGGUGCUAGACCCUCUGGUGACUCCCUUGUGGAAAGGACAAAAACCGGUGAACAUAUUUCAAAAUCAGCAGUUUUAAAUAAGUCACAGUCUUUCCCGGAUACAACAAAUCCUGGAACAACUGUGAUCCAGCCUGGCGCACAAAGUUAUUAUGGUACGCAGAAUCCUCAGGCAGCUUUUGCAAGCCAACAAUCUCUCAUUGAAAGUUGGAAUGCAUCCUCAAGUCAGUUUGGUGCUGCAGUAAAUCCUAUGGCACUUCCUCAGCCAACCAUAGGAGGAGGCUUUUCAGGGCAGAAUAAUGCGGUUGCAGGAAAUGUAGGUCAGCUGACUCCUGUACCAGCUCCUGCAACAGUGGGCACAGAAAUAGUUAAUUCGCAGUCUUCAGAUCGUGGACUAGCUCAGCCCGGAGCUGCGCCAUCAAACACUCAGCAAUUUGAAGAUGCAAGGAACCAAUCAACCGACGCCUCCAACACGACACAGCUGAUGACACAUGCACAAGUGGCAAACACAUCUGGCCAAGCUCAGGGGGCUGGAAAUACGAACUGGGGAUCCACACUUCAGAGUAAUGCAAACAUGGCCUGGGGAAUGAUGGGACAGACUAAUAUGAACAUGCCCUGGCCAGCACAAGGUGCCGCCAGCUACAACAUGGGUAUGACCAUGCCAACACAGCAAAAUGCAGUCCAAAACAUGGGCUGGGUCACACCAAAUCCAGGAAACACCAACUUGAAUAUGGCGUGGGCUACAAAUCAAGGCCAAGGGACUCCAAAUGCAGCUGCUAUGAUGGGAGCUCAGAUGCAAGGAGUUGCGAUGGCCCCUUGGGGCGGUGCCAUUGCGCAAGGAAAUGCAAAUUCUUAUCCUGGUUGGGUGCCCCAAGUUGGAAACGCAAGUCAAAAUGCCGGUGGCUGGAGUGCUCCUCCGCAGGGAAAUUCAGGUCCUAACCCUGUAAAUGGCACAGGCCAGGGGAAUAAUAACGUGAACUGGAAUUCACCAAGUGGGAACCCGACAUGGAACAACCAGCAGGAUUUUAAUGGUGGUGGCUCGCGUGGGAGGUCAUGGAGGCCUCAGUCUGGGGGUCGGGGGUCACGGCCGCCGUGCCAUGUCUUCCAGAGGUCUGGUCGCUGCAACAAAGAGCAUUGCUCCUAUUCCCAUACGCCAGGAGACGAGGGAUAUUCACAGAGAAACGAUCGCCACUUUGAUAGGCGGCCUUCGAGCAACGAGAGACCUCAGCAUGACAGGCGGCCUUCGAGCAACGAGAGACCUCAGCAUGACAGGCGGCCUUCGAGCAACGAGAGACCUCAGCAUGACAGGCGGCCUUCGAGCAACGAGAGACCUCAGCAUGACAGGCAAAACGAUAAACAUUUUGAUCGUCAAGUGUCAGGCAGCGAGAGGCAGCAGGAUAGGCCCAACAGCAGGCAGAGCGGCUGGGAUGGCUGGGAUAACGGUGGGAAGGCUGAUAGGUCAGAAUCAAAAGAGGGGCAGUAGAACCAUGGGGGCUUCUUCUUCUGGUGUCUGUGGGGUUGGAUAAUUC